ACGGUUCCAGCGGAUGCGCAUCCAACGGCGAGAAGCCACUCCAACAAGGGCGAACUUAUCGCAAAAACCAACGGCCGGCAGAUCUCCACGUGUUGCCUCUUGAUGACGAUAUUACGCGCUGAUCCAACGCUGCGCAUCUACCGUCCCCUCCCCGUUCUCUCUCUCUCUCUCUCUCUGCGUCUGUCGCUCACGUAGAGGCAACGGAAUUUGAUGAUCAAAGCGAACAGCAUCAAGGAGUAAGAGAAAAGCUGAGCGGAUUCUCUCUUCUUCUUCCUCUUAUCGGUUGAUUUUUCCGGUUGUUUUGGCGACCUCUGCGGCUGUAAUCGGUGGUGGUCGGAGUGCUUUUGUGUUAUAUCCUUUUAUUUGUUGUAAUUUUGGUGGUGGAACGAUUGACGGGAGUGGUCAAUCGGCCGGGAAGCGGCGGCGAUGGCGGAUUCAGACAAUGAAUCCGGAGGAGGCCAGGGAGGCGGGGGAGGGGGAGGGAGCAGUGAGCUGUCGCCGAAGGAACAGGACAGGUUCCUACCCAUCGCGAACGUGAGUAGGAUCAUGAAGAAGGCGUUGCCGGCGAACGCCAAGAUCUCCAAGGACGCGAAGGAGACGGUGCAGGAGUGCGUCUCGGAGUUCAUCAGCUUCAUCACGGGGGAGGCGUCGGACAAGUGCCAGCGAGAGAAGCGCAAGACCAUCAACGGAGACGACCUCCUCUGGGCCAUGACCACGCUCGGCUUCGAGGACUACGUCGACCCCCUCAAGAUCUACCUCCAGAAGUUCCGAGAGAUGGAAGGGGAGAAGACCGCCGCCUGCAGGGGAGAAGGAGCGGGCAAGGACGGCGGCAUCCAGAACGGUGGUAGUGGCGGCCAGAAUGGCGUGCCCCUUGGUGGUGCCGCUGUGCAGAAUGGGUUCGGAGGUGGUGGGGUUUAUGGGGGCAUGCCGAUGAUGAUGGUGGGCCAGAAUCCGGGAGGGGUUAUGUACGAGCAGACGGGAAGGAUGGUAGGGAGCUAUCAGAUUCCGGUGGCCGGAAAAGGUGGGUCCUCGGUCGGAGGAGCGCCGGCCGGGCAACAGACCAGGUCCAGAGGUUAAUUACUGAGGGGAAGUUGUAGGGCUAUGAAGGUGAUGCUUUCGAUGGUAUGGAAGAAAUCUUCAGAACUUCUGCGAUCUGAAGACUGGAGUGCCGUAGAUUUGGUGUUUUCGAGGAUCAGUUUGGUACAUCUCAAAAAGAGAAUUUGAUCGUCGAGGCGUUUGAUCAGUGCUUGUUUGCCUCUGCUCUCUAUGCGCUCAGCAAGUCCAAUUCCAUGCACCAAAACCAUCCUGCCAUUGCCCUUUAAGUUUAGGAUUGCUUCAGUGCUGGGGGUGGAGCCCCUUGGGUGAGUGGGAGUAGAUCUCACUAUCCGAUUGAAGGCGGGAACCUCUCCCCUUCUUCCCAUCCCUUCAAGGUUCAAGGCUGUUUUAGGUGUCCGUGAUGAGGCCGCAACUAUGCUUUGACCUGCAUAUCGAUAUCCUUUUCAAAACAUAGGGAGUUGAAGUCAUGGGGAUACCAAUCUCUUUCCAAAAAGUUCAGCAUGCAA